UACGGAGGAGGCAAGCGUUAUCCGGAAUUAUUGGGCGUAAAGCGUCCGUAGGUGGUUGGCCAAGUCUGCUGUCAAAGGGUGGGACUUAACCUCAUAAAGGCAGUGGAAACUGGCGAGCUAGAGUGCGGUAGGGGUAGGGGGAAUUCCCAGUGUAGCGGUGAAAUGCGUAGAGAUUGGGAAGAACAUCGGUGGCGAAAGCGCCCUGCUGGGCUUGCACUGACCCUGAGGGACGAAAGCUAGGGGAGCGAAAGGG
rnacentral:rRNA from 1 species